rnacentral:rRNA from 1 species
AUUGAACGCUGGCGGCAGGCCUAACACAUGCAAGUCGAACGGUAACAGGAAGCAGCUUGCUGCUUUGCUGACGAGUGGCGGACGGGUGAGUAAUGUUUGGGAAACUGCCCGAUGGAGGGGGAUAACUACUGGAAACGGUAGCUAAUACCGCAUAACGUCGCAAGACCAAAGAGGGGGACCUUAGGGCCUCUUGCCAUCGGAUGUGCCCAGAUGGGAUUAGCUAGUAGGUGGGGUAACGGCUCACCUAGGCGACGAUCCCUAGCUGGUCUGAGAGGAUGACCAGCCACACUGGAACUGAGACACGGUCCAGACUCCUACGGGAGGCAGCAGUGGGGAAUAUUGCACAAUGGGCGCAAGCCUGAUGCAGCCAUGCCGCGUGUAUGAAGAAGGCCUUCGGGUUGUAAAGUACUUUCAGCGGGGAGGAAGGGAGUAAAGUUAAUACCUUUGCUCAUUGACGUUACCCGCAGAAGAAGCACCGGCUAACUCCGUG